rnacentral:lncRNA from 1 species
GCAGUAUUAGUUGGUAAGGAAGAGAAAACAUAAGUUCUGAAGGUUAGAGAGAAGAGACAGUCCAAUGAAACUUCUGCAGAGGUGAGGGGACAGGAGCUCAGGUCGAGGUGUGUUUCUGAAGGGACUCGGAGAUGUGAGAGAACUCACUAAGGAAAGGUGAUGAUGGAUGAGGCAUGGGGUGAGCUCAUCUGAACCAAGAGUUGCCUCACAGCAAAUGAGAUCUUCUGAUGAGUUGGGAUUUUCCACAGUCCCAACUACAGCACAUUCAGGGUCUUAUGGAAUCUUUCUCAUCGGGACUUCCUGGGAAGAUGGGAACAAAUGCCUAUUCACGUCAGAUAGGGCCCGGAUGACAGACAAGAGAGGUAUUUUCUGAUGCCUCGUGAGAGCAGAUAUGAGCCUGGGCUCCUACCUCUGUGUCACCUAGGACUCAAAUUGGGACACAUCUUGGUUUUCAGCUUCCUGUCCUUCCAAAUAAUACCAUGGUGUGAAAAUGCCAAGUUCAGCUCAGUGUUAUCUUUAUCUUCAAUGCCACCACCGUGUGAACAUGCCGUGUUCACCCACAGACUUUUCUCUUUAUCUUCAAGGAUCCUAUGAUCUUUGAGAUAUUCAGGGUGGGAAUAGCAGUAAGCCACGAGGAAGCUGGCUUUCUUUCCCACUGAACUUCUCCAGGCCUCAACGCAUCAUGGUUUUGUCUCGAGUCUGAUAAAUUCUGUAAGAGAUCCAACUUCUCCGAUUUCCUUGAAUUUAAGAUCAGCCCGAGACUGUGGUUCUCAGCCUUCAGAAUGUUGUGACUCUCUAACAGUGCUCCUCAUGUUGUGGUGACCCCAACCAUAAAGUUGUUUUCCUUGCUACUUCAUAACUGUAAUUUUGCUACUGAUAUGAUAUGAAUAUCUGACAUGCAGGAUAUCUAACAUGCAAUCCUUGUGGUAGGGUCAUCCAUCCCUCAAAGAGAUAUGACCCACAGGUUUACUAACAGCUGGCCUACAAGAUGGUAAUAGUCUGUCCCAGAGUAUUCGACUGAAUAAAUGGACAGUGAUAUCUAA